rnacentral:lncRNA from 1 species
UGGUAAUAGCGAUACAUUUUUAAUGAGUGGAAGAGUGGGGUCUUGGUCUGUGAAAGAGAGUAUGGUACGGGAGAUUAUGGGUGUGACCGGAUAGUAAGGGAGAUUAUUUGGGGUUUUGGUUUGUGGGGUUGAUUUGAGAGAUGGUGUUUGAUGGGGUGUGUGAUAGGACUAAUGGGAUUUGACAAUGACUGGAGUUGGGUGGAUAUGAGAGAGGGAGUAAGUUUCAUAGGGGGAUAUGAUUUCGUGCAUGGUAGGUGUCAUGGUGGUGUUUUCUGUCC